GUUGCUUGCCCAUACGUUGCUUGCCGUGUUGAGUUCACUGAGUUUGAGUCCUGUCCUCUCCAGGGAAUAGCCUUAGAAAUACCAGCGAUAGCCUUAGAAGUAGAAGUCUAGUCUUAGCCUACUGAGCUAAUACACAGCCCACUAACGCAAUCCUUCCUAGCCCUAAGGAAGUUCAUUCUCUAACACUUACUUUAUAUCCUUAAUUGCUAGAUUGAGUCCACCGUUCCUUGGUUUGAGUUGAGUUCAUUAGAUAGUAGUGUCCAAGUCAUUAGGUUGAGUUUCAUUAUUGUAUCCUAAAGACAGUUCUUUUAUUCAUAGUUCCGCUCUUACUAGUGGAGGAAUCAGAUUUGAUGUCAGUAAA
rnacentral:lncRNA from 1 species